CUUUUGGACAAGACUGCUCUUCUUUUGUGAUUGCUAUAAAGGAAAAGAAAGGAAAGUGCCUUCAGGGACUCAUGUGAGAAAAGUAAAUCAACUGAUGACUAAGCCAACUGAUUUAGGCAAAAGCAGCCUUCCCUUCUACUAAAUCCUGGGAAUAAAUUGGAGUCUACUGGGAAUGUAUGUCGUCCUCUUAUUUCCUUCUGCGUUUCCUCAGGUGACUUCACUGGCCCUGGCAGCUCUCUCCAGUAUAAACCGCUUCAUUUCUAACUCUCUCUCAACUGAAUCUUGAUUUCUCUGCUCUCCGGCCCCAACUAACCUCCCAUCCCUCCCUCAUCUGGGAGUGAGCAGCCUGUCCUGUGGCUGUGCUUCUCUCCCCACCCCGCCUUGACCCCGUGGUACAUCACUCUCUGCCUCCUCCCUCAACAGUGCUAGACCCCUCCUCUUUCUAGUAGCCUGCAACCCUAAUCUGAAAACAUGUGUUCUUUCUACAA